UGCCAGCCGCCGCGGUAAUACGGAGGAUGCAGGCGUUAUCCGGAUUUAUUGGGUUUAAAGGGUGCGCAGGCGGGACGAUAAGUCAGUGGUGAAAUCCUACAGCUUAACUGUGGAGGGUGAUUUGAAACUGGCGAGCUUGAGUACGGCAGAGGUUAGUGGAAUUCAAUGUGUAGCGGUGGAAUGCGUAGAUAUAUUGAGGAACACCAGUGGCGAAGGCGGCUAACUGGACCGGAACUGACGCUGAUGCACGAAAGCGUGGGUAGCAAACAGGAUUAGAUA
rnacentral:rRNA from 1 species